GGAGCCCCCUGCAACACACGUCCGCCCACUCCUGCAAGGUGCAGAGAGGGAUCAAUCCUGGCUUAGCCCCGCUGCUGGGCCCAAGGGAUGCCCCACACUGCUGCCAGCAGGCAGCAAGGGGGCUGAACACUCUCCAGCCCCGACACCCAGCACCCAUCUCACCUCUGUUCUGUGACCGGCCCUGCACAGCUGCGUCUGCACCCACAGCCCUUCAGCCAUCCCCCCCCUCCAGAGAUCCCUUAUCCCUCCUUGUUCAUCCAGAGAAGAGCAGGCAGAGCCGUAUCCUCCACCGUGGUCCUCUUCUUUCCCCUGGGAGCCAUCCGCCUGAGCACCCUCUCCUCCCUGGAAACCUCCAUCUGCUCCCACCGGCCGCCUCCACUUGAGUGCAGCAAGGCAGGGAGUUAAUCGAGUGUGUUACCGUCGGCUGCCGUGUCAAUAAAUUACCCUUUGCUGUU